rnacentral:rRNA from 1 species
UAACCUGCCCAAGAGAUCGGGAUAACACCUGGAAACAGAUGCUAAUACCGGAUAACAACAGAUGAUGCCUAUCAACUGUUUAAAAGAUGGUUCUGCUAUCACUCUUGGAUGGACCUGCGGUGCAUUAGCUAGUUGGUAGGGUAACGGCCUACCAAGGCGAUGAUGCAUAGCCGAGUUGAGAGACUGAUCGGCCACAUUGGGACUGAGACACGGCCCAAACUCCUACGGAGGCAGCAGCA